rnacentral:pre_miRNA from 2 species
UAGUGGUGUCAUAGUCAUUGUUGACCGCUUAUACGACCCCUGCAAUUGCAUUGCAUUUUAUGCGGCGGUCGUAUAACGGUCAACAGAGACCAUUGACAUCAAAGA